CUUGCGGAAAGAGUGCAUUUAUUAGAACAAAACCAGGCGGCUUCGGUCGUUUUUUGUUGACUCAGAUUUACCCUAGCUGAUCGCAUGGUCUUGUACCGGCGACGUGUCUUUCAAGUAUCUGCCUUAUCAACUUUCGAUGGUAGUGUAUCUGACUACCAUGGUGGUGACGGGUAACGGGGGAUAAGGGUUCGACUCCGGAGAAGGGGCCUGAGAAAUGGCCACUACGUCUAAGGAUGGCAGCAGGCGCGCAAAUUACCCACUCUCGGAACGAGGAGGUAGUGAAGAGAAAUAACGAGACCGUUCUCUACGAGGCCGGUCAUCGGAAUGGGUACAAUCCAAACCCUUUAACGAGUAUCUAUGAGAGGGCAAGUCUGGUGCCAGCAGCCGCGGUAAUUCCAGCUCUCAAAAUGCAUAGAAUUAUUGCUGCGGUUAAAAAGCUCGUAGUUGAAUUUGUGCCCGGGAUUGGGUCCACCCUUGUUUGGUGCGUACUCAUCCUCCCGGGCUUGGCUGCCGGUUUUCUCGUCGUGGCCUUUAUUGUGCUGCGGCGAGUGGCUGGCGAUUUUACUUUGAACAAAUCAGAGUGCUCAACACAGGCGUUUCGCUUGAAUGUUUUUGCAUGGAAUAAUAGAAAAGGAUUUUGGUCUGAUUUUAUUGGUUUUAUUGACUGAAAUAAUGGUUAACAAGGAUAAACGGGGGCAUUCGUAUCGCUGCGUGAGAGGUGAAAUUCUUGGACCGCAGCGCGACGAACAACAGCGAAAGCAUUUGCCAAGAAUAUCUUUAUUAAUCAAGAACGAAAGUCAGAGGUUCGAAGGCGAUCAGAUACCGCCCUAGU
rnacentral:rRNA from 1 species